rnacentral:lncRNA from 1 species
GCCUCUUUGUCUGCUCUGGGACUUGGAACAAAAGGGGAAACUCUGAUGAACUCCUUCUCCAGCUCCCUGGACGCCCGAGUAUCUCUUUCUCGCAACUUUGUCAACGCGACUUUCUCCGCUGUCAGGCUGCGCAAAAGUAUCCUAGCGCCUCGCAGGCUGCAACAAUGGAAACAAUGUCCCUUCAAAGUGCGACGAAGUGGAGGGAGAAGGUGUCAUACCAGCGACUCCAAGAGUCAUGUCACCCACUUAGCAGGAGUACUUCUACUGAAAUGCCUUCGAAUUUCUCUUACUGGAUAUAUACCUACCAGCCGCUAGCAUGAAGAUGCCAGGACCGCUGCAAGUUAGCACUGGACAAAGUAGCAUCAACUUCUUCAUUUAGAGUUUCUUCAGUUAAAUUGCUGGGAUUUUCGACAAGGCUUUCCUUAUGUGGAUUAUUGGAGUGUGAUGCCCGAGAAUUCUCUACUUGUAGAAGCACGCCCACGGGACUGCAGAAGCCUUCACACCCACCCAGCACGCUCAGAUCAUCCAGUAACCAACCCAGGAAGUUCUUGUAAGCAUGCAUUUCUUAGUCAACACUGAAUGCCUUUAGACCGAGGUCAACCUUUUCAGCUGGUACCGUGGUUUACACUGCUGGGUUGAUGGCCUAACACUGGCUUAACACUCAUGUCGGCUGCACUAAUUGAAGUCACAUCCAAGUGGGUCAAUGCACUGAACAUAUCUGAUAUAGAAGGUCCCAGAUCCUGAAUUUUUAUCAAUGGUUUGCUGUAUAAGGCUUGCCUCCCAAAUAGCUGAGGACCCUUAUUUGGGAAGAUACGUUCUGAUGGUUAAGCAACAGCACAGAUGUCGAUGGGAAUGAGUGAUGGCCAUCCAGUGACCAGCUGGAUCUGACUGCCUUACAAGACGCAUGUGUAUGAUUAAGAGAGAGACAUUCGUGACUCCCAGAUGUACCUCCUUCCUGUCCCACAGUGUUCCUGAAGGGAGUGAGUUAUGGGGUAACUUAUAACACAGCAGGCUCUUCCUCAAGAUAGCUCUUGUCAAAACAGGAAGACGAAACUCGGGUUUCCAUGAGGAGACCACAGCUUGGGAUCCUGUCUGGAUGUACAAGCAGAAGCAUCUUCAUACUUUUCCAUUUCUAACCAUCAUGCCUCACCCCACCCUCCCAAGGCGACAUCUGCAGAGAGGUGGAACCAUCUAGGGAGGCCUGCCACUGUUUGCUGAGCUCCGGGUGAGGAUGAAGACACUUUGACAUGGCCAGCUUCAGACUCGGGAUCUGUCGGUGUUAGCAGCCGAAGGAGAAUGAGGAGGAAGAGGAGGAGAAAGAGGAGGAGGAAGUAAGACAGAGGGGGACAAGAGGACCAAGAGGGCACAUGGCUGAGGAGGAGGAGAACAACAACAACAACAACAACAACAACAACAACAAGAAGCUUGGUGGUGAAACUUGGAAGCCCUCUCCAGGAUGCAGCAGGUAGCUGAGGAGAAAACGAAGACUGACCAGCCCAGAGCUCAGAGCUUCCUCCCAUGCUCAGGAUUUACCACCAAUGCCAUUACAUCGGCCUCUUCUUGUAUGCCUCUGGAAACCACAUGUGUCCUCUGUUUGUAAUGGUUUGGCUAUGGUUGCUGGCCCCUCUUGGACAUUGUUUUCAGAACUUAAAGAAACAUUGCUUUAAAGAUUUAUUAGAACAUAUUUAAAAUAAAACCAUCUUCUCAUUUAGUAUGCAA